CAAUAAAAAUUAAAUCAGUCUCCUCCAAACAAUAGUUGAAACAAAACAUGAAAACAAAAUCUCCUCAAAACUCAUAUAUUGACAUGGAACAUAUAAUAGCUGAGGCAAGUAAAGGAGGCCAGACUUUAAAGGAGGCUGUCCAGAGAAUGUCCUUUGCGUUAUUCACUAACAACCUCUGCUGUAAACUUAACUGGUCUGGUGUUACCAUAAAUGACAAUGAAAGUAACUUUGUAAAACAAAGACUUACACUUGCUUAAAAGAGCUGUAAAAAGAAAUCCUGCAACAACUUCAGCAACUGAAUCAGAUUUUCAAUAUGAGGUUGUGCGUUUUUUGCGUGGUGCAUCAGACCUCAAUGGCAGAAAAAAAGUUAGACAAGACCAAAAAAUCAAACAAGCCAAGAAAAUGAUGCCUACAUCAAGUUUUCCAAUGCCAUUAAAUAAUUUAGUUCAGAAGAUGAAUAACAUUGCUAAAUAAAAUAAGCAUCUUUAUUUACAUAUUUGUUAUCUUUAUUUUACAAUAUUUUAUAUAUUUUUAAACUCAAUAGAGUAAAGUUUUUGUGUAAUGAGUAUUACUGUUUCUGUGUUUUUCAUGUUCAUUCCCUUUUACAGUAACCUUUUGUAUAUGAGAUUGUAGAUGAGAAUUUAAAUCGUGAUAUUGAAUCUCACCAGAGAAUAAAGAAACCGUUUACCUCAACCAGAGUUAUAUUUCACAGAAUUAUGUUGACCAUGAUCCAAAUAUUGCCAUGGAUGUGCACUUGUGUCUUAGGCUUAUGCUUUGCAAAAGGUUCACCAUCGCCCUUAAGUUGCUGUGGAAUUUACGGUUUUUAUUUCCAACCUGGCAUAUAAAUGCACUUAGUAUCUGAAGUUAUUUGUCAAUAACUGGUGAUCAGACUUUCAAACGAACACGUUUUUAAGGGCUGAGAAGGUGAAAGUUAGAAGUCUGCAGACUGCAACGUAAAUCAAUUUUCAACACAUGGUUUUCUGAAUAUAUUUAGUUUUUAUUAUAA
rnacentral:lncRNA from 1 species